CGAGAGCCUCAAGCGUUAUCCGGAAUUAUUGGGCGUAAAGGGUGUGUAGGCGGCAAUGUUAGUCUCAUGUCAAAGCCUUCCCGCUUAACGGGAAGAUCGCAUGGGAAACGGCAUAGCUAGGAGGGUGCGAGAGGUGAAUGGAACUCAUGGUGUAGGGGUGAAAUCCGUUGAUAUCAUGGGGAACGCCAAAAGCGAAGGCAAUUCACUGGCGCAUACCUGACGCUGAAACACGAAAGCCAGGGUAUCGAAUGGGAUUAGAUACCCCAGUAGUCCUGGCCCUAAACGAUGACAACUAGCUUUUCGGAGUAUCGACCCUCUGAGAGGCGAAGCUAACGCGUUAAGUUGUCCGCCUGGGGAGUACGGCCGCAAGGCUA
rnacentral:rRNA from 1 species